rnacentral:rRNA from 1 species
GAUGAACGCUGGCGGCGUGCCUAAUACAUGCAAGUCGAGCGAACAGACGAGGAGCUUGCUCCUCUGACGUUAGCGGCGGACGGGUGAGUAACACGUGGAUAACCUACCUAUAAGACUGGGAUAACUUCGGGAAACCGGAGCUAAUACCGGAUAAUAUAUUGAACCGCAUGGUUCAAUAGUGAAAGACGGUUUUGCUGUCACUUAUAGAUGGAUCCGCGCCGCAUUAGCUAGUUGUUAAGGUAACGGCUUACCAAGGCAACGAUGCGUAGCCGACCUGAGAGGGUGAUCGCCCACACUGGAACUGAGACACGGUCCAGACUCCUACGGGAGGCAGCAGUAGGGAAUCUUCCGCAAUGGGCGAAAGCCUGACGGAGCAACGCCGCGUGAGUGAUGAAGGUCUUCGGAUCGUAAAACUCUGUUAUUAGGGAAGAACAAAUGUGUAAGUAACUAUGCACGUCUUGACGGUACCUAAUCAGAAAGCCACGGCUAACUACGUG